rnacentral:rRNA from 1 species
UACAUGGGGCGCAAACGUUGCUCGGAAUUAUUGGGCGUAAAGCGCGCGUAGGCGGUUACUCAAGUCGGAUGUGAAAGCCCUCGGCUUAACUGAGGAAGUGCACCCGAAACUGAGUAGCUAGAGUACUAAAGAGGGUCGUGGAAUUCCCGGUGUAGAGGUGAAAUUCGUAGAUAUCGGGAGGAACACCGGUGGCGAAGGCGGCGACCUGGGUAGAUACUGACGCUGAGGCGCGAAAGCGUGGGGAGCAAACAGG